AGAGUUUGAUCAUGGCUCAGGAUGAACGCUAGCGGCAGGCCUAAUACAUGCAAGUCGAACGAGAUUAUCCAGCUUGCUGGAUAUGAAAGUGGCGCACGGGUGCGUAACGCGUAUGCAACCUACCUUAAUCAGGGGGAUAGCCCGAAGAAAUUCGGAUUAACACCGCAUAAAAACACAGGAUAGCAUUAUCCAAUGUUCAAAUAUUUAUAGGAUUAAGAUGGGCAUGCGUGUCAUUAGCUAGUUGGCGGGGUAACGGCCCACCAAGGCGACGAUGACUAGGGGAUCUGAGAGGAUGACCCCCCACACUGGUACUGAGACACGGACCAGACUCCUACGGGAGGCAGCAGUAAGGAAUAUUGGUCAAUGGAGGGAACUCUGAACCAGCCAUGCCGCGUGCAGGAAGACGGCCCUCUGGGUUGUAAACUGCUUUUAUUCGGGAAUAAACCUAUUUACGUGUAAAUAGCUGAAUGUACCGAAGGAAUAAGGAUCGGCUAACUCCGUGCCAGCAGCCGCGGUAAUACGGAGGAUCCAAGCGUUAUCCGGAUUUAUUGGGUUUAAAGGGUGCGUAGGCGGCUUAUUAAGUCAGGGGUGAAAGACGGUGGCUCAACCAUCGCAGUGCCCUUGAUACUGAUGAGCUUGAAUGGACUAGAGGUAGGCGGAACGUGACAAGUAGCGGUGAAAUGCAUAGAUAUGCCACAGAACACCGAUUGCGAAGCAGCUUACUAUGGUCUUAUUGACGCUGAGGCACGAAAGCGUGGGGAUCAAACAAG
rnacentral:rRNA from 1 species